rnacentral:rRNA from 1 species
GUCCAGACUCCUACGGGAGGCAGCAGUGGGGAAUAUUGCACAAUGGGGGAAACCCUGAUGCAGCGACGCCGCGUGAGUGAAGAAGUAUUUCGGUACGUAAAGCUCUAUCAGCAGGGAAGAAAAUGACGGUACCUGACUAAGAAGCCCCGGCUAACUACGUGCCAGCAGCCGCGGUAAUACGUAGGGGGCAAGCGUUAUCCGGAUUUACUGGGUGUAAAGGGAGCGUAGACGGCUGUGCAAGCCAGAUGUGAAAGCCCGGGGCUCAACCCCGGGACUGCAUUUGGAACUGUGUGGCUGGAGUGUCGGAGAGGCAGGCGGAAUUCCUAGUGUAGCGGUGAAAUGCGUAGAUAUUAGGAGGAACACCAGUGGCGAAGGCGGCCUGCUGGACGAUGACUGACGUUGAGGCUCGAAAGCGUGGGGAGCAAACAGGAUUAGAUACCCCCGUA